UAGUCCACUUUAUCGACACUGUGGGGUGGGCUUUCCCACUCCAGCCAACCCUUGGGGUUGAUCAGAUCAUCAAGAAAACUUUGCAUUAUGAUUGUUCUUGACAUAUUCCCCCAUGGCCUUCCCAAAAAGUAUGUUCGUAGGGUCCAAUAGCAGUGGUUCUGUUGCCUGAUAUGAUAGUCUUGUCCAUCCCGGCUCCAACCAGCAUAAGAUUUGUCUUCUUUUUAGACACUACUAUGUACUCCCCGUAGAGACCCUCACCGAUCUGUAUUUUGUAUCUCCGUGGACUGAAGCUUGGAGCAUGUUCGAUUGCCUCUUGAAUGGUCGAGAAGUUCCCUGACCCAUCUUUGGCUACAGUAACAUCUAUGUCCAUGACCUGGCUUUGCGCACUCGAGCAAAACGUCCUCAACAUGAGGGUUGCAAACAGCUUUGUGUGCCACCUGUCAAGAAUGUAUAUUACUUUUAGUAGAUGUCAGGGUAUUACAAGGCGUGGUGGAGGCAUUUUCGGAUCAUCCUCCAAACCUAGCUUAGUUACUGUUGUUUUCUGGGGAUGUCUUGUUUUAAAUAAACCUUAUUUCCUUGCUGGAGCUGAGACUAGCGAAAUUUGCUUUAAAAGUGACUCAGGAUUAUUAC